rnacentral:lncRNA from 1 species
CACAGAUCAUCUCUGUCAGCACUCUUCGGAGCCCCAAGGCCUGGAAACUCAAAAAUCAGCAGACUCACCUAAAAGUCUAAGGAUUUGGAAUUGAACAUGCUGACGUCUCCCAGUGCCCUGUGACUGUUAUCUUCUGCUUUAAUCUUGUCAGAUCAAGGUUCAAGACCCUUUGAACGCAAGGAUACUGAAUAAUUUGGACUCCGUAGAAAGUUUGCAACAACUACUUGGGCGACUGAAAAAUCAGAAAUAUUAAGAGAGAGAUCCAGAAACCAUUUGCCCUGGGAACUGUUACCAGGUGAACACGCUUAUAACUGGUGGUGAAGAAAUUUCACCAGAAACCAGCAGCUUCUCAGAAUGUCACAUGCCAACCCCAGCACUGCCAAUCGACUACAACUUGGUUUCAUUAUGAAGACCAGGCUGGCCUUGAACUCAGAAAUCCACUUGUGUCUGCCUCCUGAGUGCAAAGAUUAAAGGUGUGAGUCACCACUCCUAGCUCCUUGCAUUUCUUUACGAUUUUUUUCAGCUAAGUAUACAUCCUUAGAUUCUAAAGUUGGUUUUACCCAUUUUUGUAAAAAUGGUCUUUUGUUUCUUCUUUUUUUUCCCCCAAGUUGAUUCUUCCCACUUUCACAGUUAUUUGUCAUUAAAAACUGAGGUAAACAUUUUCUGCAAACUAACCUAUGCACACAAAAGUCACAUUUUUAAAUUAGGUUUGUUCUUUGGCAAUUUCACACAUGUAUAGACUGCAUUUGUGAUUACUCUCACCUCCUUUCUUCUCUUAUCUCCCUCUCACCUUUAUCAAUCCACUCCACCCACCCUCCCCAAAUCCUGUUGGGGUUUGCCCUGGGGUUAUCUGUAUUUUGAUGCUAGUUCCACUGCCCCAAGGACAGCUGCCUGGUCACUCAGGUGACUUCACCAGAACCUUCUCCCCAUUGAAUUUGUAAAAUACAGGUGAGGGGCAGGUACAGGAUAGAAGGAGGCCUGUCAUUGGAGGAGAAGGAAGGAUGGGCGGGAGAGAAGUUUGAAGGAAGAGGAGGAGACUGGAACAGAAAGGAGAAGAAACAGGAGGGAGAGGGGAGAAGCCAUGGCAGGUGACGUUAAGAUUCCGCUCUGUGUAUUUACAGGUUGUUAUUAAUGUUCUUAUUAAGGGAUGGAUGGUACUGGGAUUUGUAUGUUUAGGUAGGCAAUUAUAUCUUAUCAAUUGGGUCAAAUAUUGUGUUGUGUGUUCUUUUAUGUGACGGUUUGAGUGCAGGAAAGUGGACAGUGGCAGGAGACUCUGGGCCGCCAAAUGUGUGCUUCUGGCAAGAUACCUUGGGGCACUGUGGUGCCAGAUAAAAGACAGUCUUACUUUUUUUAAAUUUUUAUAUUUUUACAACAACAAAAUCCCUCUCCCAUAGUCCCGUCUUUUUGUUCUGCUGGGUUAUCAUGGGUUUGCAGAUAUCAAUUGGAAUCUCAUGAGCUCACCCAUGGGUAUACAACUAAAGACAAGACAAAGACUCUCCCUCUUCCAGGAUCUAUCAGCAGUCAGUUUACCGGUGAAGGCAUGUGACCACACACACACACACACACACACAUCACACACAUACACACAAAUGCACACAGAAGAUUUUAAAAAAGAAAGCAGAAAUACAUCAUUCCUCUGAUGUAUGGAAGAAAGAAGAAACUAAGGUGAGCAGUAAGAAGCUUCUUGGACCACACAAAGCUCAAGAAGGAUGACCAACAUGGGGAUGCUUCAGUCCUUCUUAGAAGGAGGAACAAAAAUAUUCAUAGGAGGAAAUAUGUAGACAAAAUUUGGAGCAGAGAUUGAGGGAAAGACCAUCCAGAGACUGCCCCACCUGAGGAUCCAGCCUGCAUACCUAUAGCCACCAAACCAAGACACUAUUGCUGAUACCAAGAAGUGCAUGCUGACAGGAGCCUGAUGUAGCUGUCUCCUGAGAGGCUCUGCCAGAGCAUGACAGAUACAGAGGCGAAUGCUCUCAGACAAACAUUGAAUGGAGAACGGGGUCCCCACUGGAGGAGUUAGAGAAUGGUUUGAAGGAGCUGAAGGGGCUUGCAUAAGAACAACAAUACCAACCAACCAGAGCUCCCAGGGACUAAACCACCAUCCAAAGGCUACCCACAGACAGACCCAUCACUCCCGCUGCAUACAUAGCAGAGGGUGCCUCAUUGGGCAUCAGUGGGAGAAGUCCUUGGUUGCCAAGGCUCAAUGCCCCAGUAUAGGGGAGGGAAGCAGGAAGGGGU